rnacentral:rRNA from 1 species
AACGAACGCUGGCGGCGUGCCUAACACAUGCAAGUCGAACGAGAAUGCAGACUUCGGUCUGCUAGUAAAGUGGCGCACGGGUGAGUAACACGUGGGUAACGUACAUCGUAGUGGGGGAUAACCAGGUGAAAGCUUGGCUAAUACCGCAUGAGUCCGUCGGGACGCGAGUCUUGACGGGGAAAGUAGAGUAAUCACGCUACGAGAUCGGCCCGCGGCCCACUUAGCUAGUUGGCGGGGUAAGUGGCCCACCAAGGCGACGAUGGGUAGCUGGUCUGAGAGGAUGAUCAGCCACACUGGAACUGAGACACGGUCCAGACUCCUACGGGAGGGCAGCAGU